rnacentral:rRNA from 1 species
UGCGUAGGCGGCAUGGCAAGUCGGGUGUGAAAUCCCGGGGCUCAACCCCGGAACUGCACUCGAUACUGCCGUGCUUGAGUGUUGGAGAGGAGACUGGAAUUUACGGUGUAGCAGUGAAAUGCGUAGAUAUCGUAAGGAAGACCGGUGGCGAAGGCUAGUCUCUGGACAACUACUGACGCUGAGGCACGAAGGCCGGGGGAGCAAACG